CCAAUGUUUUAAGCACCUUUGUGAUUCCCCUCUCUGUUGUGUCCUUAAAUUAGUUCUGAUUUAAUUUCUGUUACUUUCUGGGGUAGAUGGUGCUUGUCUUACUGCAGCAGAAGUUCUAGUCAGCUAUGGGUUUAUCUCACCAGUAGCUUUGUGAAAACUGUAGAGUUCAGACCUUUACAUGUAAGUGAGAGUACUCACUACUAUAGCAGCAGAAUAAGGGCUGUUUUAGAAACUCCAGAAUUCACAUGAAAAAGAAGUGAGAACAGAAUUAGUGUUUGGCCUUCAUUUAAAAGUGUGUGAUCUUGCCCUAUGGCUGCUGAUGAACUCUGUACCCUGUGCAUGGGCUUACAAAAUCAGAAGCCCUCUUCUUCUAGAUCUACACAAAUACCUGAGAGGUAAGGGUGGGCACAAGCUAGCAGAAAGAAAUGUAUUAUGCCUGCUUUAGGAAAAGAAUUGCCAAGAGAAAAUAGAGGUUACUGUGGUGGGUGGCAGGCUGUUGUGUUGAGUUCUCAGAGAAGGAUGAGAAGGCGUAUGAGCUAACAUCUAUCGUCUCCCCGAAAUAUGCUGAUGUGACAGCUUCUUGGACUGAAAAUGCACGCUUCUGGUAGAAUUCUUCUGACAGGAAAAGCAAGCAGUUCUGGCACUUAAAACCAGCACAAAACAAAACCCCCUCUGAAUAUUGAUUUGUGAUGUUAAUUUGUUUUAUGAAGAAAGUAGGUGGGUUAUUGUGCAGAAAUGCUGAAUGGACUGUAUGCUGCUGUUUGCAACCAAGAACCAAAAAAAAAAAUACUUGCUUAGUUUAGCCUCUGAAAGCCAGAACGACCCUUAGAAAAUCCACAUUGCAAAUAUUUGCUGUUUGGAGGACUGCUGAAACAAAAUAUUCAAGAGAACUAGGAAAUUGCUAAGUACCCACUAAGAAGAAAUACUGGUGGAGCCUUAAUAAUGGAACAGCACUGUCCUAAUUUGUAUCACACAGUGGCCUUUAUCCAGGCAGUCAGGACUAUUCUAACAGGAAUUACUUAAUCCUUUUUGGUGCCUCUCUUGGCAGAACACUUCUUCAGGUAGUUCAAGUCCAGAUGCUCUCAUUGAGGCAUUGUCCAGAGAAUUGGUUUUGUGCACCCAAAUGAAAGUAACUUGCUCUUCUGGAGCUUCAGUAUGGUUCUGUGUUUUAUGUGUAUCUAUUCAUGCAGUCUUGUUGUGAUGAGUAUGUUUUCAGGAUGUUGUGCCUUACAGGGGGAGAUGAAAUUGUAGGUUUUUGAGGCUGUGUCCUUAUCUGUCCUUGCAAGGCAUGGUGAACUGGAACUACUCAGUAACUGCUCAGUGACCAGUUUGCACAGAGUAAUCAAUAAGAUAGGCUGUUCUUUAAUUGCCAUCCUGGAUUUGAUUAUUCCUAUUGAAAGAACUUUUGAUAUCGGUAAAUGCAUUGCUAAUUGUCUUGCUCUGCUUGUUUGCAGCCUGCACAUUCUUGAUGCUGUUUCUCUUGAAUUAUGUAAAAGCACUGUUUGUUGUUUUGUAUUGUUAAAAAUAUUGGUACAGCCUGUCUUAGAUAAUAUCACUGCUUGAAAGGUCUAGAACAUCUGCACAGAAUGCUAAUGUCAGAGUGCCUUAAAGGAUUUUUUCUUCAUUCCAAUAUUGGUCUACAGUCGGGGCUUACGUAAUAGCUUCUUUUUCCACUUGUGAAUAGGUGACAACAGUCUUUUCUUUAGCAGUUUAUUGUGAUGUGUAUUUUAAAAAAAAUAAAAAAUUACAAACUAACAACCCCAUUUAGGAGAGUCUAAGUAUCGACUGGGUUUUUUUCUAAUCAGGAUAAAUUUAUGUAUCUGUGUAUAGGAUCGUUAAAGUAGCCAUUUUCCCUUCACCUGAUGAUGCUUGCAGUUUGUAUUUCCUGACACCAGAAGUUCAUUGUAUUUAAUAAGCAACUUCCUAUUGCAUUAGCAAAUUUCCAUCUGGUUGGAAAGGUACCUGAUUCUAUUACUAUAUUUGU